rnacentral:lncRNA from 1 species
AGGGCUGUGAGGGGCAUCUUCUCCAGGCAGGUGGCCCUGAGCUGCACUUGGGGGCCGUGGGUGGCCCUUUGGGGGUGCUGGGAGUGUGGCCACCUCAAGGAUGGUGCAGGUGGGCCCAUGGCCAGCAGAGGGCACCACGUGGUCCAGGCCUAUCAGAAAGGGCAGGGCACUACCCUGGCCUGGCUCCUCCGCCAGCAUACUUUGCAGAUCCCCAGUCCUCCAAGGCUAGUGGUGCCUCUGCUCUCCACUCAGAGGAGGCAAGCUUGGUUUGAAGCUGGGCUCUGCUGCUUAUGUUUAAGCCCUCAGAACUUCAGUGGCCCAAUCUGUAAAUGAGGACAGUUCUUUUUUCCAGAGGUUUCAUGAGAAUUAAAACCCUUCGUAAAAGUUUAGCAUCAUAUUCCUAGCACAUGGUUAAGUGUCCAGUAUGUGGUGAUCAGUGUUGCAUCUUUGUGACCUGCCAGAUGUGGGAAGGUUGGACUCCUGAGCACAGGGGAGCAGAGUCCAAGAACUUGGAAGCCAGCCUAGGAGCUGCUCCCUGGGCCACAGCCCUUAUUUCCAGCAAAUCCUUGCACUGUGAGUAUUUCUGGGUCUGGGAUGGGAGUUGGAAUGCAGGAAAGGACCAUUCCAGAGGAGAGCCUGGCUUCCUCGAAGAGAAGACUCUCAGGGAGAAGGCCACCCUCAGCAGCUUGGAAUAGACUUACCGAUAUGUGCUGUUGAGUGAAGAGAUGAACAGACGUGUAGGAGAGACCAGGGGAGAGAGAGACCGCCCGGAGCUGGACUGGCCUGAAUUCUGGAGGUGGACACUGCCCAGCCCAGUCCCCAGACAGUGGCGGGGGGGGGGGGCCCUCCUCGAGAGGGGUGGAAGGGUCAUGGGCCUGCUGGAGGUUGAGAAUGACAGCCCAGAAAUCUGUGCCUGGGAACUGGUUUGGCCAGUGUGGUUUCCCACUUCCGAGGGUGGAGCCCUGGGAUGGACACGUUUGCUUCCAGAUGCGUGCAAGGACCCGUAUCAGUACCAGAGCCAGGGCUGCGGGCCAGGCCACGGGAGGCACCGAGGUGCAUUUGCAUCCCAUCCUCGUGGCAUUUGCUGGAGUCUGGUGGCACCCGCAUCCUCUCAGUGCUCCUCCCCUUGCCUUCACAUGUACCUCUUUCUUCCCACACAUCCUGGCUUCCUGAUGGCUGUGCACAUGAGGGUGUAGGAUGGGGCUUGGGGACGCCCUCAGAAAGCUGGUGGGUUUGGGGCAGUUGUUAGCAAGAUGGGUCAGGAGGGCUGUCUGUGUGUGCUGAGCCCCUGCCAGGCCCCCCCAGUGCAGGUCAUCCAGGACUAAUGAAGACCCUGUCCCUGACGGGGGACAGGACUAGGAGAUGGGAAGAGUGGGCACUGGCGGGAGAUUGGGUAGCCAAGCCUCCUGCAAGUGGGGCCCAUGCGGUGUCUGAGAGAGCCAGGCCUCUCCUCCUCUCCGUUCAGAGCACCCCCAGACAUGAGACCAGACGGGACACUGCCUUCUCCAGAGUCCCACAGCCAGGCUCUCCAGGACACCUGAGCUGGCGGGGAGAGCUGAGGUCCCCCAUGGAGAGAAAAAUCAGUGGUUGGGAAACAGGAAAUGACUCCAGCUGGCUCUGAUCACCAAGCCAAUCCCCAAGCCAGACAGCCAGGCUAGGGGCAUCCAGUGGGCAAUCACAGAGGAUGUGUUUGGGCCCCAGGGGAGGUAGCCUUGGCUCUGGGGACUCGUUUGCAUGGAGUGAAGAGGGAUUUGCAUCGUUGAGAAGUUACAGCUGUGGGAAGGGAAUGGGCGCUGGGAACUGUUAGCCAGGCCAUCCAGUUCCUAUCUUCCUCUGGAUGGGGGGGUAUUGGGGAGCAGGCCCUGUGCCAGCCAGUCCCCACCUCACCUGGUGUCAGGAGCACAGCUGAGUCCCGGUGCCCUUGGCUUAGCAUUCAGGCUCUGUACAGAGCCUCCCACAGAGCUGUGCAGGCACGCACACAUGCAGCACGUGAUCCAACACAUGCAUGAAGCCUGUGCACCUCUCACACAACCUGUGCAUCCACGUCUGACACAUGUGCCCACUCACGACAUUAGUUCCUACACAGACACAUCACCACACCCUUGGGGUCACAGACUCUCAGACUCUCACACUAGCACAUGUCCACAGAAAGUUCACACCCACACCCAUUUCACACAUUCAUACUUAACAUAGUUGAUAUUUUUUACUAGUUUUCCCUACAAGACAAACAGUUGAAAUUCUUUCUAUUCUGUCUUCACAACAACCUUCUGAAGUCCUGUUUCCCCUGGUUUUGGUUAUGUAUUUUACAUACAGUGAAGAACACAGAACCUAGGAGUUCAGCGUGCUGAACUCUUAAGCACGCAUUGCAUAACCAUCAUCCGCAUCACGAUCUAGAACGUGUCCAGUGCCCCAGCAGGUCCCAUCGUGCCUUCCCAAUCAGUAGAUACACAAGAGGCGCCAACAUUCUGUUAAGGUAAGUGCCAGUUGGCGUUCCCAUUGUUGCUCAAGGGAUUAAGAACCCAACACAGUGUCUGUGAGGAUGCAGGUUCGAUCCCUGGCCUCACUCAGCGUGUUGAGGAUCCCACGUGGCCGUGAGAAGUGUAGGUCGCAGAUGGGGAUUGGAUCCCACGUUGCUGUGGCAGUGGUGUGAGCCGACAGCUACAGCUCCAAUUUGACCCCUAACCCAGGAAUUUCCAUGUGCCAUAGGUGUGGCCCUAAAAAGGGAAAAGAAAAAGUGCCAUCAUGUCUAUUUAAGAGGUGAGAAAACUGAGGCUCGAGCCCAUGGUCACAUACUGAGAGAUGGCCAGACCGGGAGCUCUGACUCCAGGCUCCUCACUACACAGACACACAUUCUUAUACACGUGCUUGCUUUCGCAUGAACAGAGGGCCAUGAUCACAGAAGGGGUGGAAGCCCUACUUUGUUCUCUCCAAGAGGAGAGCAACAGAGACAAUUUAAGCUUUGUUUUCCAUCUGCCCUUAAAGGGCAUGACUUGGCUCAUGAAAAAUCAGUGAACUCUGUGAGCACAAGGGCUGCAGCUCCUGCUCUGGAGCACAGUGUAUCCAUGGGGCAGGGGACACAUCUGAGGACACUUGAGCCGUAGAAGCAGCCAUCAGGCAUUUUCUUCGUGCCCUCCAUCAGCAGAAGCACACUUGGCAAAGCUUGACAUUCAUUCACUCAUUCUGUUAAUAAAUAUGUAAUGGGCGCUUACCUACCUUGUGCCCAGCCGUGUCCCAGGUGCUGAGGAUGCAGCAGGGAAGCAGACACAAAAUAUCCCUGCAGCAUGGAGCUGACGUACAGUGACAUAGCUGGCAUUUGGGUAAUAAGGGAGAAUCAGAGAGGAAGAGGGGGUGCAAGCUUUAAAUAGAAAGUCAGGAAGGUGGUGUUUGAGGCAGGAUGUCAAGAGCGGCCGAGGGUGCGGUCAUUGUGGGUAUCUGGGAGAGCUCUCCACGCAAGGAAAACAGCCAAAACCGAGCAGAAAGUUGGCACCCAUUGUGUUUAGAUGCCAAUUGUGAGUUAUAUGAAAUGCAGAUGUUGGCCACCCCCCCCCCCCCGCCCCUUAGUGCUGUGUGACUUUGGUGGAGCCACCCUUCUUCUCUGGGCUCUGUCUCUUCAGCCACGUGACAUGAGGCUUAGAUAAUGAGCAGCCCUGUCCACCUGAGCACUCUGCCCUCAAGGACCUGCUCUAACCAAGUGAGGGGCAUCUGUGGUCACCCAAGUUCUGGUCCCAGGGCCUGGCAGAGUUUUCCAGAGAAGCCUCUGGCCCAGUCACCCUCACUCCAGGGUGGGCCACAGCCUCAGUCCAGGGCCUUGACUGCUAGAUGCAUUUGCCAGGGGUGGCAGUAGGGGAGGCCCUGGUGGAGUUCCUGGGUGUUAGAACAUUUUCAAUUGGGGAUAUAUGUAUUUGGGAGAAUGGGUGGUAUCACUGGAGAUUUGUAUGUGCCUAGCUGUCAUAUGUUUAUCUACAAGUUUAUUGUUGAGGGCGACACUCCCAGGCCUGGGGACCCCCUGGCCUUCUCCCAGGGUUGGCUUCACUUCUAGGCCCUGUUCCCUUUCUCUUCAACCCCUUAGCUUCUCAAAGGCCUUCUUAAGGGAAAUGGUCACCCAAGACCAUCGAGACACAGAAGGAGAUGGCAAAGAGGGAGAUUAUUGACGGACCCUCUUGAGUCAUUUAGGAAUUGCAGUCAGCAUAGUUCUGAAAGACAAUGGCUUAAACAAGAUACUUUCCUCUCCUUAAAUGUAAAGUCUGACGGUAAUUACAGUGCUGACUUCCAUCCUCAAGGCCUCCUCAUGGUCACAGUGUAUCCACUACAGCUCCAGCCACCACAUCCCAGUUCCAAGAGAAAGGAGGUGAGUUUGAAUCAGCCCUUUUUUAAAGGAGCUGCCCUGGAAUCCCUACCCCAACAAAAUAAUUUGUACCCAUUAGCCAGACUUGGUUAACUGUUCCUUCUGUCUCCAAGGAAUCCUGGCAUGAUUUCAUCCCAGACAAUUGGGAUUCCAGUUAUCGCAAGGGGAGAAUGAAUAUUAGGGAGACAACAGGCACUCUCUUCCCCAUGUAUGCCCUGCUUUCUUCCAUCUCUGUGCCCCAAAAAAACUCAUGCUGUUCCCUCCACCUGUGAAGCCCUCUACCCUCCCCCCAUUCAUGUCUUCUCUUAAGGAACCCAAAGCACACUUUCCAAGCUAUUGGGGUUAUCAUAACAGAAACCCCGCAGGGUGACUCAAGUGAAAGGGGAGGGUGGAGUUAAAUCGUAAGAACACAGAACACCAGCCUAUGGUGUCCAUCACAGGGAGGGCAAGGCCUCCCUACCCCUCUGCUCAGUGGGGAUCAGAGCUGGAAACACAGUCGUGGACAAGCCAGGCCAGCUCCUGCCUCCGAGGGACUGACAUUCUGGUGAGAAGAGACAGUCAUCGUACAGACCAAAGCCAGAAGAUCGUUUCAGUCUGUACUAAGUACCAAGGAGAUAAAUCAGGGAGAGGCCACAGAUGGAGAUGAACCCGGUGGUCAGGGAGCACCGGGCACACGGUCGGCUCUCCCCAGUGUGCGUGGAGCGUAGCCUCAUGUAGACCCUGGAGGGGGAGGGGUCGGAGCCCCGCUCCAGGCGGAACACCCAGAGCAGGUUCAGGUGCUCGGGCGGGGCAUGAGCCCAGGGGCUGGCCAAGCCUGCCCCCCAAUCUCAGGGGAGUCGGGGGUGGGGAUCUGUGUCAGUGCUGAAGCUGUUGAGGAAAGCUGCUGGAUCCAGGCCCUAGUGAAGGCGAAGGGUCCAGGACUGGGUCCCCAUGGGCACCAGAGAGUGGGCCUCUCUAGCCCACCCAGAAGUGUGGUCGAAUGGACUCUGAGAGGCCACACAAAGGAGGCAGGGCCUCCUCUUGCCCCAGACCCUCACGGCCCAGACAGACCUUCCUGGCAACGCCUGGGCCUGGAGGGGCGCCAGCCCUACUACCCCCAGGCAGCCAUGUGAGAAAAGGGACUUUCAGCACUGGGGGCACAGACUCUGUGCCCUGAGCACCCUUCUCUGGGGAGUGGCCUUGGGUCCUGGCAAGGAAGGAGAAUCGGGGGGCUCCCCAAGGCGUCCCUUCCUGCAAGUCCUGCUUCCCCAAACCAGGUCUUUCACUGUGACAUCUCCUAGGCCCUUGGGAAGAGCAAGUAAAACCCUCACCAAGGAGCUAAGGCCUGAUACUGUGUCAGGGGGCUGUUACGGAGUAGCAAUACCUUCCAUGUAGACAUGAUGCCCUUUCUCACAUAGGGGCUCCCUGGAGCCUCCACGGACCCUCUGCAGUGUAUGGUCUGCCCUUGUACCUGACCCAUGACAAGCUGAGGCUCAGAGAGGUGAACUUGCUCAGAUUCCCUGAGGGAAAGGAGCAAUGCCAAGGGGAGGGGGCCAGAACUGGAUCCUGUGGCCGCUGUGAGCACUGUGGGGUCAUCAAUUGUAAACGGGAGUUCCUGUGGGGCUCAGUGGAUUAAGAACCUGAUGAGUAUCCAUGAGGAUGCAGGUUCAAUCCCUGGCCUUGCUCAGUGGGUUAAGGAUCCAGCACAGGUGCAGUCCAGAUCCUGCAUUGCUGUGGCUGUGGCGUAGGCCGGCAGCUACAGCUCCGGUUCAACCCCUAGCCUGGGAACCUCCAUAUGCCGCAGGUGUGGCCCUAAAAAGACAAAAAAGACACAUACACACACACACAC